GGAUGCAGACGGAAAGUGCUAAAAACGACUCUUAAUCAGCGGGUCCUAGGUUCGAGCCCUAGUGCGUCCACCA
rnacentral:tRNA from 1 species